rnacentral:tRNA from 1 species
CGGGGCGUAGUAUAACGGUAUUAUUCACGCAUGGGGUGCGUGUGACCCGGGUUCAAUUCCCGGCGCCCCGA